AGUGGACCGCUCAAAGCCGCGUGGGGUUUAUUACGGAGAGUAGUGGCGUCAGGGGUUGUUCAGGGCCACUUGGAGCUAGUUGCGGAGAGUGGAGUGGUGUCCGUUGUCAGGACUUGCUAGAGAGAGGUGGGGCUACAUGGAAUCCUUUGCAGCAAAUGGAGCGGGAUGGCGGCUUUUGUCGUGGCUUGUCAGAGAGUGGAGCAAGGUAGUGGCCCUUGUUGUGGCUUGUCNNN
rnacentral:lncRNA from 1 species